rnacentral:rRNA from 1 species
GACGAACGCUGGCGGCGUGCUUAACACAUGCAAGUCGAACGGAAAGGCCCUGCUUUUGUGGGGUGCUCGAGUGGCGAACGGGUGAGUAACACGUGAGUAACCUGCCCUUGACUUUGGGAUAACUUCAGGAAACUGGGGCUAAUACCGGAUAGGAGCUCCUGCUGCAUGGUGGGGGUUGGAAAGUUUCGGCGGUUGGGGAUGGACUCGCGGCUUAUCAGCUUGUUGGGGGGGUAGUGCCUUACCAAGGCUUUGACGGGUAGCCGGCCUGAGAGGGUGACCGGCCACCUUGGGACUGAGAGACGGCACAGACUCCUACGGGAGGCAGCAGUGGGGAAUAUUGCACAAUGGGCGGAAGCCUGAUGCAGCAACGCCGCGUGCGGGAUGACGGCCUUCGGGUUGUAAACCGCUUUCGCCUGUGACGAAGCGUGAGUGACGGUAAUGGGUAAAGAAGCACCGGCUAACUACGUG